CCUACGGGCGGCUGCAGUAGGGAAUCUUCCACAAUGGACGAAAGUCUGAUGGAGCAACGCCGCGUGUGUGAUGAAGGGUUUCGGCUCGUAAAACACUGUUGUAAGAGAAGAAUGACAUUGAGAGUAACUGUUCAGUGUGUGACGGUAUCUUACCAGAAAGGAACGGCUAAAUACGUGCCAGCAGCCGCGGUAAUACGUAUGUUCCAAGCGUUAUCCGGAUUUAUUGGGCGUAAAGCGAGCGCAGACGGUUGUUUAAGGAGGAAGUGAAGGCCCGCAGGGUAAGUGGGGGAGUGCUUUGGAAAGUGGAUAGCUUGGGUGCAGUGGAGGAGAGGGGAACUCCAGGUGUAGCGGUGAAAGGCUUAGAGAUAUGGAAGAACACCGGGGGCGAAGGCGGCUCUCUGGACUGUAACUGACGUUGAGGCUCGAAAGUGUGGGUAGCAAACAGGAUUAGAUCCCCUAGUAGUC
rnacentral:rRNA from 1 species